AUUGAACGCUGGCGGAAUGCUUUACACAUGCAAGUCGAACGGCAGCACGGGGGCAACCCUGGUGGUGAGUGGCGAACGGGUGAGUAAUACAUCGGAACGUGCCCAGUCGUGGGGGAUAACGUAGCGAAAGUUACGCUAAUACCGCAUACGAUCUACGGAUGAAAGCGGGGGACCGUAAGGCCUCGCGCGAUUGGAGCGGCCGAUGUCAGAUUAGGUAGUUGGUGAGGUAAAGGCUCACCAAGCCGACGAUCUGUAGCUGGUCUGAGAGGACGACCAGCCACACUGGGACUGAGACCCGGCCCAGACUCCUACGGGAGGCAGCAGUGGGGAAUUUUGGACAAUGGGCGCAAGCCUGAUCCAGCCAUUCCGCGUGCAGGACGAAGGCCUUCGGGUUGUAAACUGCUUUUGUACGGAACGAAAAGGCUCUGGUUAAUACCUGGGGCUCAUGACGGUACCGUAAGAAUAAGCACCGGCUAACUACGUGCCAGCAGCCGCCGUAA
rnacentral:rRNA from 1 species